rnacentral:rRNA from 1 species
GCUGGCGGCGUACUUAACACAUGCAAGUCGAACGAGGAUCAGCGGGUUAGCAAUAAUUCGUUGGUCCUAGUGGCGCACGGGUGAGUAACACGUGGGUGACCUGCCCUGGAGCUCGGGAUACCCCCUCGAAAGGGGGGCUAAUACCGGAUACGUUCCUCGGUCGAAAGACCGGGGAGGAAAGGUGGCGCAAGCUGCCGCUCUUGGAGGGGCUCGCGGCCUAUCAGCUAGUUGGCGGGGUAACGGCCCACCAAGGCUAUGACGGGUAGCUGGUCUGAGAGGACGACCAGCCACACGGGGACUGAGACACGGCCCCGACUCCUACGGGAGGCAGCAGUGGGGAAUUUUCCGCAAUGGGCGAAAGCCUGACGGAGUGACGCCGCGUGUGGGACGAAGGCCUUCGGGUCGUAAACCACUGUCAGUGGGAAAGAAGGGUGUCGGUGUUAAUACCACCGGCAUUUGACGGUACCUGCAGAGGAAGCCCCGGCCAACUCUGUGCCAGCAGCCGCGGUAAGACAGAGGGGGCAAGCGUUGCUCGGAAUUACUGGGCGUAAAGGGCGCGUAGGCGGGAUGGCAAGUCGGUCGUGAAAUCCCUCGGCUCAACCGAGGAACGUCGAUCGAUACUGCUGUUCUUGAGGAUUGCA